UCGAACGGCAGCACAGAAAAGAGCUUGCUCUUAUGGGUGGCGAGUGGCGGACGGGUGAGGAAUACAUCGGAAUCUACCUUUUCUUGGGGGAUAACGUAGGGAAACUUACCCUAAUACCGCAUACGACCUUCGGGUGAAAGCUGGGGACCUUCGGGCCUUGCACGGAUAGAUGAGCCAAUGUCUGAUUAGCUAGUUGGCGGGGUAAAGGCCCACCAAGGCGACAAUCCGUAGCUGGUCUGAGAGGAUGAUCAGCCACACUGGAACUGACACACGGCCCACACUCCUACGGGAGGCAGCAUUGGGGAAUAUUGGACAAUGGGCGCAAGCCUGAUCCAGCCAUACCGCGUGGGUGAAGAAGGCCUUCGGGUUGUAAAGCCCUUUUGUUGGGAAAGAAAACCAGUCCGCUAAUACCCGGUUGUUCUGACGGUACCCAAAGAAUAAGCACCGGCUAACUUCGUGCCAGCAGCCGCGGAAAUACCAAGGGUGCAAGCGUUACUCGGAAUUACUGGGCGUAAAGCGUGCGUAGGUGGUUGUUUAAGUCUGUUGUGAAAGCCCUGGGCUCAACCUGGGAA
rnacentral:rRNA from 2 species